rnacentral:lncRNA from 1 species
GAAGUAAUGGGACUAGAUGCCAUGAUCUUAGUUUUUUGAAUGUUGAGUUUGAGAAACCGCAAUAAAGACUCUUGCCCAUGUUUUCUCCUUGUUCCCUCUGCCUCCUGACCCAACCCAGCGCUUGUGAAUCGCCUCCCUGCAUGCUGUAGCCUGGCUCCUCUUUCUAGGAAACUGAGUUUAAUAAACCUUCUUUCAUGACUUUCAGCUCAGCUGUCUAUGUGUCUUAUUUCAAGCACCCUCAAACCACCCUCUUCUCAGGCUUAUCUUCCUUUUCAUCCACCACCUCCUCCUCCCCAGUCCUGGCAUCCUCCUUCUUAUCCCUUUGUCCUGAGCGUGAUGCUCCUUUUUGGUGAAGCUCCUCUUUCCUGAGCAGUCCCACCAUGUACAGUUGUGCAGGUUGUGUACAGCAACCAGUCAGGGCUGACAACCCAGCCUGUGCUUGGUCGGCCUGAGCAGGCUCCUGUUUCUGUGGGCUGGUGAGUCUAUUCCUGGAAACCUCCUUCUACCCUCCUACCUCCCUAAAUGCUACCCAUCGUGGAGCCCUUCCAGCUCUUUGCAGACCUUGUGCUCCUGAAAUAGAAGACGGGAUCCUUCUCAUGUAGCUGUUCUGUUACCGCACGGGAAUGUAGCUUCCUCCCACAGGAAGUUCUGCAGGAAAGUGACCGAGCUGCCUGUGGAGCCUCACUGCAAGGUCAGGAAAGAUGCUCUUUUGCCUCCUCAGCUGCUCUGCUUUGGCUGCUUGGUGGAGUUCUCCUCAUCACCCACCCCCUUCCUCCCCACUUACACCUGGGAGAAAACGACUGAAAGCAGCUUGAGACGGGGCCAUCACCCCUUGCCUCCUGCCUGUAAUUCAGUAGGUCUCAAGUUUUCCAUGAUUAGCUCUUGAGGGUCUAGACUAGAUCAGUGCAUCUCAAACUUUGAGGUGCCUCAGACUCACUGGAGGGCUCCUUAAGACACAGAUGACUGGUCCUCGCCCCCAGAUUUUCAGACUCUAGGAUAGAC